rfam:Xiphophorus maculatus strain JP 163 A Contig1927.2, whole genome shotgun sequence.
AGCCGCUGAUGAAAAAGCAAACAUUUUUCUGACACCUCAUAUGAGAGCUAAGCUCAUGAUUCUAAAUCUGUUCUGAGGCUU